CGCCAAGCAUGCGGCACGUUCUGAAGCAAGUGGACGUUCGGCUGUGUUCAGCUAAAGCAAAAUCAUCGUUUUCCACUCAGUUGAAGGUGCUGCAAAUUGCAAGAAUUGGAGGGAAGAACACCAAGGACUGUGCCCACAAUGUCUUUGACAGGCUCUUCACUUGAGCCCUGAUGGCGCAAUUCAGUAUGAAGGGGAAGGGGAAAAAGGGCAUGAAAUAUUUGGAGAAGACACAGGUUUGUAGAGCAAUUUUUUUGUAAGCCCAUAUUUCAUGUUGAUCAAGGGAAGAUAAUUAGCUCCUGCCAAUCUGUGAAUAAUGACUUGAUUGGACAAAACAUGUCCUUCCCUGUUGACAUUUAAAAUACAAUGCUAACUGUCUACCAUGGCUAUUUUAUCAUUUGCUUGGGUGGUAUUGUAUCAAUCCAGUAUUGGUAGUUUUGCUUAUGAGUAAAGGGACUUGGUGUAAUGACUGCAGAUUGCCUUUGCAUUUUUCUAAUAAUUUGUCUUUUUUUCUACUUGUGCAUAUGGAGUCAUGAAAUUUGAUGACACAGCCACAGAGGACUUCAUGGGGAUGAACGCUUCAGAACAUCUGAAGCAUGCACCGCAAAGAAGUGGAGGACAUGCAGCAGCCACUCAGGACUGAUUAUCCAUUGUGGUGCAUCUUGUCAUUGUUUACACAGCUUUUGUACAUUGUCUUCUUUUCUGUGUUCAGUAUAGUUGCUUAUGGUUGGAUUCUUACCUCAAAACACUAAUUAUUUUCUUAUUUUUAUUUUACCCUCAGUGUUGAUUUUAGAAAGUUAACUGUUCUGCUGGGUUAAGAUGGGGAUUAAUGAAUCCAUCAAUCCUUUUCUAUUACUGGUAGUUUCACUUUCAUUUAGUUUCGGCAGACAAUCAAAGGUAAAGCAUGUUGGCUUCAACUGAUACACAACAUUGAAGUGAUGUCCGCAUGCAAGCCAUUCAAUUCACGUUCCUUGUUUUUACUGGUAGUUGGCAGGAAAUUCAACAAGUCAAAGCUUUAUUAGUGACAUGUUUGUGAACGUUAAUAAAAAUAAAGAUGGAAAU